AUCUGUGUGAGAUAGACCAGGCAUCGUCGUGACCAUCUGUCUCGGCGGGGGAGUGUUAAGAGUAAACAUUUUAAAAAAUUACAAUAACCAAGAAGAGCUCAACAUUGAUUUAUCCAUAUCAAUUGAGGUUGAAAUAUCUUUUUUUAAAUGUAGCUUUGUUGCAUAGGUGGCACAGCUGGAGCUAAUUGGACCCAAUUAGCACCAGCUGUGGUCACUCGUCACCUGCUAUAAAAGCUCGCCUGGUCGGUCAUUUUCACAACUGUCACUGAAACAAUGGCUGCUGUAUGGGUCUUGGUUGUGCUGGUCCAUACUUUCUUCAUGGACAAAGCUUUUUGCACAGGUGGUACAGCUGGAGCUAUUUGGAGCCAAUUGGCACCAGCUGUGGUCACUCGUCACCUGCCAUAAAAACUCGUGGUCGGUCUGCUUUACAACUGUCACUGAACCAAUGGCUCCUGUUUGGUUCUUGGUUGUUCUGGUGCAUGCUGUCUUCAUGGACAAAGGUCUGUUUUUCAGAUAUGGCUCCUGAUGUUUCACUUGCGAGAGAGAGUUGUUGAACUUUUCCAUUCUUUGGACUCUGGGUUUAAACUACACACUCCAGCCCAACCAGCAAGCAAAGGGUCAUUUGGAGACAAAGCAAGUGACUAUGUGAGAAACGACCAGCAGAACCACAACAUGAGCAGCAAGGGUGACCAGAACCACUCCUUCAGCCAUGACCAGCAGAGGUACAACAUGAGCAAGGGUCAGCACAAUGACUUAUUUCAACAAGCUCAUGUAGCUCUGCUGAACGAGGGCCACCAGAAUGAGUCCUUUCAACAAGUCCAGCAGAGUGUCAGCCAGAGCACAAUGAGCCACAAGCGCCAGAGUGAUGAGAAUCUUGACCUGACCGAUGACUAUAGGUCAGGCUACCAGAAUGGACGAUGACUCGACAGAUGAGGGGUUGACUGUGAAUGUUUGAUUUGUACGCCAUGGAAAAGCUUAGUUUCAUGUAACUCCUGUCUGACAGAAUUAAAAUCCUUACCUUCA